rnacentral:lncRNA from 1 species
ACAUUUCCCAGUUGACUACUACCGGUAAUAAAAUCAAAUGGAUUCAGUGCUCACAACUCUUCAGUCUUUGGGCUACUUUCCAUUCUUGAAUUUUUAGCUGAAUUCAUCUCUUUGGCUGGAUUUUGUGAAUCGGGCAGCCAUUAGAACCAAAACAGUUCUGAGGAGCUCCCAGGCUGCAAUGUGGUGCGAAAUGUUUUAUGGACAGAAAAUGGAAAUGAGGUGCAGAAAUUGGAGGAAAGUCACGUUUCAGUGUUUUGGUUUUGGUGAAUGCCCACAACAAGGCUAGUGAAGGAAGGAGGCAUAGUAGGAAGCUGUUGGCCAGACGAGCUUUUAGAAGACCCUUGCUACAUAGAGAGGACGUAGAAAAUGUCUUUAUCAUUAGGUGAGAAACAUGAACUGCAUUCUUUGUUGCGUCAUAUUAAAAUGUAAAUCACAAGAAUAAAUUAUAAAAAUAAAACCUAACCAAAACACAAACAGGAGGAGGUAACAGAGGACAGAACAGAGUUCCUAGAAAAUUAUAUUACAGGACAGACAUACAAGUACCCAAGAGAAAGCAAAAUUCUAAAAGUCUCUUAGCCAAGUGUAGAGCACAAAAGUUCUCCUCAGUUCAUGCACUUUCGAGGCAUGUCAGUUGGAAAAAGAGCAUGCUAUAGGAGACAGUUUUAUUGUGUUUUGUGCAGUGACCUUUUAAAAGGGAAAGGUCCUUUCUGAGAUAUUUUGAGUUCACUCAUGCAUCUGUCAUAGAAUUUGCUUGGAACGAAGUGUGCCUGUCACCCCAACCUUUCUUCAGAGCAGAGCCUGCUUCCUCAUGGGAAGAAUGAUGUUUUAAGAGUGUCAUUCAGAUGGAACAGAAAGAGGUCUUCUCCAGGUUUGUCUUGCUACUGAAUCAAUAGGAUCUCCUGGAUUUUGAAAAGUAUAUUAAAUUUUUUUUCAGACGUCAGAGUUGGGGGGAACUAGUUUUGUUUAGCUUUAUACAAAUUUCUAGCAUUACUUGUACGGAUAUGCUGGAGAUUCUGCUGCCUCUUGCAAUCUGACAGCCUCAUGGAGAGUUGAAUAAAUGGUCAUUGCCUGGGUAAGUGAGGGCUCUUUCUAAAGUGUUCAAGAGUAGGUCACAUAGAGAGGAGUGCCUUCUUCCUGCAUUUUUUCAAGUACCUGUUUUCCCCUAUUUUAUUCUUUUGGAAGGGAUUGAUUUUAUGGUAGUCCCUUUCUUUUCUCACCUCUUGACAGAAUGUUUUUCUAAAUGAUUCCUUCAGAUUAUUCUUUAGGUCCCAUUAAAAGAAACAUGCUGGUUCUUCAUUCUCAUUCUGUCUUUAUGCUUAAUGCAGAUAUAAUUCAUAUUUGUUUUAUCAAAGUCAUUUGAUAACCUCUUCAAUGACAAAUCCCUGAUUACAGAUGUAUUCUCUUUUGGUAACCCACAGGGGUUGAAAUUGCUCUAAUUUUUGGUACUGUGUAUUAGGUUGAGAUUAAAAAAAACUUUGAGGACAAUCUUUUCCUUAUUUAAUAUCUGGAGAAAAAAUACUACAUGUGAGAAAGGUGGAAAAAGGAUGUUGCACUGUAUGUAAUAAAAGCUAUGAAUUUUGGCACUUUUGUAAACUGUAAAGAUGUAAAUGUUCCUUAAUUAUUUUCAGUAGUCAGACUUAUGUUUCUUCCAGUUGUAUUUCCAGGCUGAGACAAUACAAAAGAUGGACAGCUCUAAGUUGAUUAUCAAGCUUUAAAUAUGUUUCACUUGAUUAAGAACAUUGAAGGUGAGAAUGGAAUUAUGUAGGCUUCACUGAGUAUCCGUAAAGUUGGGAACAAUGAUAUACAACACAGAAAAGAAGCUCCAUAAGAAAACAGCUGCAACUAACCCAUCUGGAAAGAGACCUCAAUCAAAAUGAUACUUAGCGAAAGAAAAAUACUUUCAGUGAUCAAAUUAUUUGUCUGACCAAUGCUUGGUGGAAAGAUUCCACAUUACUAGUUAUUUGUAAUGGGUAAUUGCACAAUAUACUGUAUUGUUCAAUCUGGUGUGAAUGAAAGUGGGGAGAUCUUGACAAUUGUCUUGGAACAAUAGAUGUAAAAUUGAGACUAUUCUGGGAAAACCAGGAUGUUUGGGCCCCCUGGUAAUAGUCUAAUCAUUAUACAUCUGUGCUAUAAGCACACAAAUAACAUCUAGUAAUGAAAGAAACAUUCAGCUAAGAAAACUUGCAGUCAAAAACUUUUGAUAAAGCUGUGAAGACUUGUUAGGUCAUGUAUUAAUUUAAGAUCUUUAAGAUGGAGAGCAUCCCAUCAAUGAUUAGGAGAAACACAAACAUUUUAUAUUGUGUUUAAUACACUUUUUUAUGUUUAAUAAAAAACAUAUCACCUACCCUACAACUCAUAAUUAACUUAUAUAAAGUUUUUUUUGUUUAAUAAACAUUUCAUAUUGUGUUUAAUAAAACGCAAACAUUUUAUUACUUACAGGUCCUGGGUGGGGGCAGUACGUGGCAUGCCUGGAGAUGACACACAAGGAGAUCAGGAAGUGUGGGCAGGGAGAAUGUGGACCUGGGUCACUUGUAUUUAUUGGAGUCCAGGGUGAGAAACCUAAGUGUCAUGGGACGAGGGGAGCAAUUGGGCAGUUUAAAACAAGCAGGCACAAAAUUUCAAACAACCCAACAUUAAAAACCCUUUCUGGCAAAGAAAUGUUAUCUAGAAAUCUAGCUGACCCAAAGGCUGAGUGUGUGGGUUUGGGGUAAGAGCUAUCUUGCCUCACCAGAGCAACAAAAAGGAGAAGUCAUCGGCUAAGCUAGAUAGCCAAACAAAAUGGAUGCUGAGGCAACAUUAAAUUAUAAGAAUUAUAAGGUCAAGAUGGGAUGGAGAUUCUGGACCUGGUACAAGGAAGUGCUGCAAUGAAUAGCAGGGAGUUAGGGCAGACUACUUCCAGUGUCCUGAGUUUUCAGGUUUCAUUUGGCUGUCAAAACCAUUUGUUCCCUAGACUGUGAUUUGACUGGUGAUGCUGGCUGGCAGUGCCCCUACUGAUGACUUAGCAGAUGACUCUGAGCUGACAAUUUGCCAUCCUUCAGCUGUCUUGGUAGGAGGGAUUCAGUUACCAGCAUGCACAGCACAGAGCAGAAUCCAACCUCAUAGAUUUUCAAAAACUUAUCGCUAAAGUCUAUUAUUAACAGCUUGGUAAGAAAAGUCUUUUUCAUUGAGAAAUGUAUAGAUUAUUGUGAAGGAAAAGUAUUUGCUAAGACCAGACUGGCCGAAGCUAAUCCUUUUGGGAAUAGCCUUACCAAUUUGGGGGAAAUGACUCAUUUACUUAUAAGCUAUACCUGUCAGCUUCCCUUUACUACCUUUGACAGCUCUUAAACCAGCAGUAUAAGAACUGCUAGUGAAAAAAUAAACAUUAGUAUAAAACUUUAUGUACCUAUUACAUAACAGUCAUAUAUUAGGUGUCCAUUUUAAGUACAGAUACUGAAAUAGCAAAAUAAUUUAUUGGAGAAACUCAAAAUGCUAUAGAAAAAUUUGACUUGGAAAGCACCACAAAUGUACAUGAUACAAGUAAACUUGAAGAAACCAAUUACAUUGGGGGAUAGUCUUGUUUUCUGUUAUUCUGUGGACUUGCUUUAUUAAUAUAUGGAAUUUAGAGUUUCUUAUAUUUAAAAAAUAUGAAAAUGCACAUAAUCAUUCCCAGGCUGCUCCUGAUCCUUUAGUGAUGAUUCCUACAGAAAAAAAAAAAGUGCUUGGGAUGGGGAAGAACUUUGUGGCCAUCGAUUUUUUCUUUCUUUCUUUAUUAUUUUUAUUUUUUUAUUAUACUUUAAGUUUUAGGGUACAUGUGCACAACGUGCAGGUUUGUUACAUAUGUAUACAUGUGCCAUGUUGGUGUGCUGCACCCAUUAACUCAUCAUUUAACAUUAGGUAUAUCUCCUAAUGCUAUCCCUUCCCCCUCCCACCACCCCACAACAGGCCCCAGUGUGUGAUGUUCCGCUUCCCGUGUCCAUGUGUUCUCAUUGUUCAAUUCCCACCUAUGAGUGAGAACAUGUGGUGUUUGGUUUUUUGUCCUUGUGAUAGUUUGCUGAGAAUGAUGGUUUCCAGCUUCAUCCAUAUCCCUACAAAGGACAUGGCUGCAUAGUAUUCCAUGGUGUAUAUAUGCCACAUUUUCUUAAUCCAGUCUAUCAUUGUUGGACAUUUGGCUUGGUUCCAAGUCUUUGCUAUUGUGAAUAGUGCCACUAUAAACAUACCUGUGCAUGGGUCUUUAUAGCAGCAUGAUUUAUAAUCCUUUGGGUAUAUACCCAGUAAUGGGAUUGCUGGGUCAAAUGGUAUUUCUAGUUCUAGAUCCCUGAGGAAUCGCCACCCUGACUUCCACAAUGGUUGAACUAGUUUACAGUCCCACCAACAGUGCAAAAGUGUUCCUAUUUCUCCACAUCCUCUCUGGCACCUGUUGUUUACUGACUUUUUAAUGAUCACCAUUCUAAUUGGUGUGAGACGGUAUCUCAUUGUGGUUUUGAUUUGCAUUUCUCUGAUGGCCAGUGAUGAUGAGCAUUUUUUCAUGUUUCUUUUGGCCGCAUAAAUGUCUUCUUUUGAGAAGUGUCUGUUCCUAUCCUUUGCCCACUUUUUGAUGGGGUUGUUUGUUUUUUUCUUGUAAAUUUGUUUGAGUUCAUUGUAGAUUCUGGAUAUUAUCCCUUUGUCAGAUGAAUAGAUUGCAAAAAUUUUCUCCCAUUCUGUAGGUUGCCUGUUCAUUCUGAUGGUAGUUUCUUUUGCUGUGCAGAAGCUCUUUAGUUUAAUUAGAUCCCAUUUGUCAAUUUUGGCCUUUGUUGCCAUUGCUUCUGGUGUUUUAGACAUGAAGUCCUUGUCCAUGCCUAUGUCCUGAAUGGUAUUGCCUAGGUUUUCUUCUAGGGUUUUAAUGGUUUUAGGUCUAACAUUUAAGUCUUUAAUCCAUGUUGAAUUAAUUUUUGUAUAAGAUGUAAGGAAGGGAUCCAGUUUCAGCUUUUUACAUAUGGCUAGCCAGUUUUCCCAGCACCAUUUAUUAAAUAGGGAAUCCUUUCCCCAUUUUCUUGUUUUUCUCAGGUUUGUCAAAGAUCAGAUAGUUGUAGAUAUGCAGCAUUAUUUCUGAGGGCUCUGUUCUGUUCCAUUGGUCUAUAUCUCUGUUUUGGUACCAGUACCAUGCUGUUUUGGUUACUGUAGCCUUGUAGUAUAGUUUGAAGUCAGGUAGCAUGAUGCCUCCAGCUUUGUUCUUCUGGCUUAGUGUUGACUUGGCAAUGAGGACUCUUUUUUGGUUCCAUAGGAACUUUAAAGUAGUUUUUUCCAAUUCUAUGAAGAAAGGCAUUGGUAGCUUGAUGGGGAUGGCAUUGAAUCUGUAAAUUACCUUGGGCAGUAUGGCCAUUUUCAUGAUAUUGAUUCUUCCUAUCCAUGAGCAUGGAAUGUUCUUCCAUUUGUUUGUAUCCUCUUUUAUUUCGUUGAGCAGUGGUUUGUAGUUCUCCUUGAAGAGGUCCUUCACAUCCCUUGUAAGUUGGAUUCCUAGGUAUUUUAUUCUCUUUGAAGCAAUUGUGAAUGGGAGUUCACUCAUGAUUUGGCUCUCUGUUUGUCUGUUAUGGGUGGAUAAGAAUGCUUGUGAUUUUUGCUCAUCGAUUUUGUAUCCUGAGACUUUGCUGAAGUUGCCUAUUAGCUUAAGGAGAGUUUGGGCUGAGACGAUGGGGUUUUCUAAAUAUACAAUCAUAUCAUCUCCAAACAGGGACAAUUUGACUUCCUCUUUUCCUAAUUGAAUACCCUUUAUUUCCUUCUCCUGUCUGAUUGCCCUGGCCAGAACUUCCAACACUAUGUUGAAUAGGAGUGGUGAGAGAGGGCAUCCCUGUCUUGUGCCAGUUUUCAAAGGGAAUGCUUCCAGUUUUUGCCCAUUCAGUAUGAUAUUGGCCGUGGAUUUGUCAUAGACAGCGCUUAUUAUUUUGAGGUACGUCCCAUCAAUACCUAAUUUAUUGAGAGUUUUUAGCAUGAAGCGUUGUUGAAGUUUGUCAAAGGCCUUUUCUGCAUCUACUGAGAUAAUCAUGUGGUUUUUGUCUUUGGUUCUGUUUAUAUGCUGGAUUACAUUUAUUGAUUUUUGUAUGUUGAACCAGCCUUGCAUCCCAGGGAUGAAGCCCACUUGAUCACGGUGGAUAAGCUUUUUGAUGUGCUACUGGAUUUGGUUUGCCAGUAUUUUAUGGCCGUCAAUUUUUGACCCUGAGAGUGAACCUCACCUUUGGAAGUUACUACCAAGCAUUUGACUUUUGGAAGACUCUUUACACAGCAAGAGAUCUCCUCCACCUUUGAGGUGAGGACAUUAAACUUGGUUUAAAAAAUUACUUUUCCAAGUACAUUAACUAUGUCUUAUAUAUUAUCCAUACACGAUUACUAAGAAAAUAUAAACAUUUUUUCAUAUACUGGUUAAUUGGCUUUAAAGAAAAAAAUCCCCUUUUUAAUCCCAUCAGGAUUUAGUUUGACAAAUUUUUCAGAAACUUAUAAAGAUGAAAACACCUGGAUGUAUUUCUCUGUAAACUUUGGCUGUUAGCAUCCUUUUUCAAUGCUUGUGUAGUUUUUCAGAACAGAACCUAACCUUCAAGAUGAGUCAUUUGUUCCCAAACUUGAAUUGUCAUGAAACACUCCUUGGGUUUCCCUCCCGUGCUGAAUAUGAUUUCUAAGAAUGGGAUGGCAUGGUUACUGUAUAAAGAUCAUUUGUUCUACAGGUCAGAAGGCCUGAGUUCUCAUCAUUAAUUAACUUUGUGAUGUAUGUUGGGUAAAUCACUUAACCUCUACAGUUUUAUCUUCUGUAAAAUAUGAAAGAAAGACUUUGAGCUAAAGUUUGUUUCUACUGUAAGAACAUGAGAUAUUUUAUCUUGGUGACAUCAUGGCUUAUGGGCAGGCUGAGGUGGGAUUAGUAAUUGCAAAAGCAGUGGUCAUAAGGUGAAGAAACCUGGACAUGACUUCAGACUUAACCUGGGAAAUAAAAUCAGGGAAUGUGGACAAAGUCAGACACUACUUUAGCACAGGAUGAGAUGCCAGAAGAUGAUGGAUCCAACAAAGACAUGCAUGAAAGGCCACGGGGCUGUUUCUGGGCUUAAACAAGCUAGUCUUAAUUAGGAGAAAAAGCGGAGGGACUGGAGGAGUGGAGGAGAGGAAGUCAAUAGUGAUGCAGUACUUCCAUCCUAGAGGGUUUCUUCGAGAGCCAAGAGUUCCAAUCUGUGCAUGGCAUUACCCCUUCUGAGGUAAAAGAAAAAGUCCUCUACAAAAACCUGACAGUAUUCUGCCCUCAAGCCCCUUGUUAACCAGGCCAAGGUGAGGCAUGGGUUUCAUGCCCUACUGAUAGCAGUGCAAGAUGUCUUGUUAUGAGUAUUGAUAUCGAAGUAUGCUUUUAAAUCAUAUUUCACUCUGACACCGUUAGCUACGUAACUAAGUCUUAGUGCUAUUGCCAGUGGUCCAAUCUAAAUGAUGUAGUAGAGAAUCUAGUUCAUUACUCUGAGCUGGGACUCUGAUGAAGAUGUAGGGUGACACACUGUCUUUGUGAAGAAGGCAUGUGUGGAAUACUUGGUGUCUUUGGUGAGAUGGCAGAACUUAAACCGUGAGGAGGAUGGCAAUCAUGAGGAAUGGUAUCAGGAAGUUUUUCCAGCUUGAUAGAUGGGAAGGAAAGCAGAAUGGCAGGAAGGGGGCCAGGUGCUAUCUCCUUGAAGGAGGGAUGAACCGUCCUCAGGGUCUGUCUGCUCACAGGCAGGAGACUUAUACCAGAACUGUGUUUACUGGAAGUCUUUUAGAGUUCAAAGUGAACUUAUCUGAGUUUGACAAAUAAUCCCCUACAGCAAGACAAAGAGUAGUAGAUGAAUUAUACAUUUGGAUACUGUUGGAAAGGGAGAGGUAAAAUCCAAGUUGGAAUAAAGCAUAUGUUAUGGGAGAUCAUCAAUAUCAUUGAGCACGGGCUUUGAGGAUUAGAGUUAUGAUGAAGUAUAAUAGUACAGAAUCAGCUUGAGACACAGUCUUAUGUUUGUUUUGGUCAUCUGCCUAGAAGUAAGGUGCAGAAAAUGCUUAUACUUUGAAAAGUCGUGAAUUAAAUAGAACUUUCUAGCAAUGGUUGAUGAACUGGGUGGGUGUCAAAAAUCAAGACUUCAUGAUUGGGAAGCUGUGGGGAUGGGGAAUUUUCUUAGAAAAGAGAGAGACUCUAAAUGGUGCUAGUGGGGUGGCCUAAGCCCUGACAGUGGAAUGGGACCUUUUUGGAAGACUGCACCUCGGGGUAAGGAUGCUUGUGACCCUGAGACUAGCAUCAACCCAUGAUAGAACCCAAGGGUGCAGAAACCUAUGAUAGAAAGCAAGGGUACCAAAACCUUGAGGGUGUUGGCAGACUGAGGGGCACUCAGUUCACCCAGGGACAUCCUUCACCUGAGAAUGACUUUUCUAGAUCUCCCUGCAGUGGUUUUGAGAACCUGAGUCCUAGUUGAGCCUUCUGUGAUGCCUUCCAAGUCCUAGCAGUGUGGCGUGCCCACACAUCUUUCUCAACAAAGGAUGCAGAAAUAGGAAUGUAAUUAGAGCAGUUCAUCCUCGGUAGAGAGUCCUUUGUGGUUCCCAGCUGGGCAGUAGUUUAAAGGAUAGCCCUGUGAAUCUACUCAAAUAGUAUCUUUAUUUAAGAUGUCAAUAAAAGGUAGUAAACUUGAGAAUCUCUGAGAAGCAUUGAUCCAUAGUGGAAAUUACAUGUAUUUAAGUAUGAAGGUAGUAAAUAUAUAUUAACAACACAUUAUAUGCCAGAUACUGUCCUGGGUAUGAGCUAUAGCUGGAAGUCAGAGCGGUACAAAAUCUACCAUGGGGGAGUUUAAGACCAAGUUUUCAAGCCAAACGGAACUGGAUUCUACUAAUUUCCAGACUGAUGCCUUGGAGAGGUUACUUGAAUUUUUCUGAAUGUCCAUUUUCUCAUAUAUUAAAUGACCAUUAUAACCUUGCUCUGUAAGACUGCUUGUUAGAUGAUAUAAUAUCUUUCAAAUAUCUGUUAAAGUGCCUAAUAAUAGCAUAAUAGCUACUCAAUAAGUAGCCAUAAUUGUUUUAACAAAUGAAAUUUAGACUCCUAGGAAAAUUAGAAAGUACUGCACUGGCUUUCCUGUUUUCCUAAUGGCCAUGAUUAUUUAUCCAGUGACUCAGUGCAGAUUUUGAUUUAUUUUCCUUUUCAUAGCCACCUUAUCAAAAAGUCCUGCUACUGUUAUUUCUACUUCAAAAUGCAUCUCAAAUCUAUUCACCUCUCUCUGUUCCCAUCUGUAUCACCCUAGUCCAAGCUCUCUUACUCCCUAGAGCAAUAGCCGGUAACCAUGUGCUUACAACACAUUCUCUGCAAAGGCAGCAGAGUGUAUUUUUUACAGCAUAUAUCAGACCAUAAGGGCCUCUUGCUUAUAAAGGACCAGUGGAUUUUUAUUGCAUUUACUAUCCAAAUCUGAAGUUGCCAUCAUAACCAGACUUCUCUCAUUCUCUUCCAUGUCUUCUGGUAUCACAUUCCUGCACUAACCUCUACACCC